rnacentral:rRNA from 1 species
GCAUAUCAGAAGGCACACCCGGAGAACUGAAACAUCUUAGUACCCGGAGGAAGAGAAAGAAAAUUCGAUUCCCUUAGUAGCGGCGAGCGAAACGGGAAGAGCCCAAACCAACAAGCUUGCUUGUUGGGGUUGUAGGACACUCUAUACGGAGUUACAAAGGACGACAUUAGACGAAUCAUCUGGAAAGAUGAAUCAAAGAAGGUAAUAAUCCUGUAGUCGAAAAUGUUGUCUCUCUUGAGUGGAUCCUGAGUACGACGGAGCACGUGAAAUUCCGUCGGAAUCUGGGAGGACCAUCUCCUAAGGCUAAAUACUCUCUAGUGACCGAUAGUGAACCAGUACCGUGAGGGAAAGGUGAAAAGCACCCCGGAAGGGGAGUGAAAUAGAACCUGAAACCGUGUGCUUACAAGUAGUCAGAGCCCGUUAAUGGGUGAUGGCGUGCCUUUUGUAGAAUGAACCGGCGAGUUACGAUUUGAUGCAAGGUUAAGCAGUAAAUGUGGAGCCGUAGCGAAAGCGAGUCUGAAUAGGGCGUUUAGUAUUUGGUCGUA